AAGACCUUGCGCUUUUGGAGCGGCCGAUGCCUGAUUAGCUUGUUGGUAAGGUAAAAGCUUACCAAGGCUUCGAUCAGUAGCUGGUCUGAGAGGACGGCCAGCCACACUGGGACUGAGACACGGCCCAGACUCCUACGGGAGGCAACAGUGGGGAAUUUUGGACAAUGGGGGCAACCCUGAUCCAGCCAUGCCGCGUGAGUGAAGAAGGCCUUCGGGUUGUAAAGCUCUUUCAGCCGGAACGAAACGGUUACGGUUAAUACCCGUGAUUACUGACGGUACCGGAAGAAGAAGCACCGGCUAACUACGUGCCAGCAGCCGCGGUAAUACGUAGGGUGCGAGCGUUAAUCGGAAUUACUGGGCGUAAAGCGUGCGCAGGUGGUUUUGUAAGUCAGAUGUGAAAGCCCCGGGCUCAACCUGGGAACU
rnacentral:rRNA from 1 species